AGGGAUGUGGCGCAGCUUGGUAGCGCGUUUGUUUUGGGUACAAAAUGUCACGGGUUCAAAUCCCGUCAUCCCUA
rnacentral:tRNA from 1 species